rnacentral:misc_RNA from 1 species
UUUCCGUAGGUGAACCUGCGGAAGGAUCAUUACCGAAUUGUCAAACGGGUUGUUGCUGGUCUUCAAACGGGGACAUGUGCACGCUCUGUUUACACAUCCACUCACACCUGUGCACCCUCCGUAGUCCUAUGGUCUGGGGGACCCUGUCUUCCUGCCGUGGUUCUACGUCUUUACACACACUCUGUAAUAAAGUCUUAUGGAAUGUAUGCCGCGUCUAACGCAAUACAAUACAACUUUCAGCAACGGAUCUCUUGGCUCUC